UACGUAGGGUGCAAGCGUUAAUCGGAAUUACUGGGCGUAAAGCGUGCGCAGGCGGUGAUGUAGGACAGGUGUGAAAUCCCCGGGCUUAACCUGGGAACUGCAUUUGUGACUGCCUCGCUGGAGUGCGGCAGAGGGGGAUGGAAUUCCGCGUGUAGCAGUGAAAUGCGUAGAUAUGCGGAGGAACACCGAUGGCGAAGGCAAUCCCCUGGGCCUGCACUGACGCUCAUGCACGAAAGCGUGGGGAGCAAACAGG
rnacentral:rRNA from 1 species